rnacentral:rRNA from 1 species
CCUACGGGGUGCAGCAGUGAGGAAUAUUGGUCAAUGGACGAGAGUCUGAACCAGCCAAGUAGCGUGAAGGAUGACUGCCCUAUGGGUUGUAAACUUCUUGUAUAUGGGAAUAAAAUGUUCCACGUGUGGGAUUUUGUAUGUACCAUAUGAAUAAGGAUCGGCUAACUCCGUGCCAGCAGCCGCGGUAAUACGGAGGAUCCGAGCGUUAUCCGGAUUUAUUGGGGUUAAAGGGAGCGUAGGUGGAUUGUUAAGUCAGUUGUGAAAGUUUGCGGCUCAACCGUAAAAUUGCAGUUGAAACUGGCAGUCUUGAGUACAGUAGAGGUGGGCGGAAUUCGUGGUGUAGCGGUGAAAUGCUUAGAUAUCACGAAGAACUCCGAUUGCGAAGGCAGUUCACUGGACUGCAACUGACACUGAGGCUCGAAAGUGUGGGUAUCAAACAGGAUUAGAUACCCUUGUAGUC